UACGGAGGGUGCGAGCGUUAAUCGGAAUUACUGGGCGUAAAGGGCGCGUAGGCGGCCCGCUAAGUCGAACGUGAAAUCCCCGAGCUCAACUCGGGAACUGCGUCCGAUACUGGUGGGCUUGAAUCCGGGAGAGGGAUGCGGAAUUCCAGGUGUAGCGGUGAAAUGCGUAGAUAUCUGGAGGAACACCGGUGGCGAAGGCGGCAUCCUGGACCGACAUUGACGCUGAGGAGCGAAAGCUAGGGGAGCAAACGGG
rnacentral:rRNA from 1 species